AAAAACUUCAUGAUAAGUUUCAAGGGAAAAAACAAGACAAGGAUGAGUGAGACUAAGACACAAGUGACCAACACACAAGUGUACAGAGCCAAGCGAAGGAGGCAGGAGAUACAGCCAAAGGACAAGGGACAGUCAUUGUGGCACCAACCAUCUUUCCUGAGGAGUUGCAGGCAAGCCAGCGGGUCCUGCACUCCAUGAGACCAGUGGCCCAGGGGCUGAUUCUGCAACAUUGCAUCCAUGUCACCACCUUGGCCACGGGACCUUCUACAUCUUCAAGGAAAGCAGCCAGACUCUCCAUGGGGGUGUCCUAGGUUUGAUUCUGUUUGUGGGAUUCUAAUUUUUGAAAACUGAUAAUCUGAC
rnacentral:lncRNA from 1 species